CCUACGGGAUGCAGCAGUGGGGAAUAUUGGACAAUGGGGGAAACCCUGAUCCAGCGACGCCGCGUGAGUGAAGAAGUAUUUCGGUACGUAAAGCUCUAUCAGCAGGAAAGAAAAUGACGGUACCUGACUCAGAAGCCCCGGCUAACUACGUGCCAGCAGCCGCGGUAAUACGUAGGGGGCAAGCGUUCGCCGGAUUUACUGGGUGUAAAGGGAUCGUAGACGGCAGGGCAAGUCUGGAGUGAAAUGCCGGGGCCCAACCCCGGAACUGCUCCUGAUACUGGCAAGCUGGAGUGCAGUAGAGGUAAGUGGAAUUCCAGGUGUAGCGGUGAAAUGCGUAGAUAUCAGGAGGAACACCGGCGGCGAAGGCGGCUUACUGGACUGUAACUGACGUUGAGGCGCGAAGGCGUGGGGAGCAAACAGGAUUAGAUACCCCGGUAGUC
rnacentral:rRNA from 1 species